ensembl:lncRNA PRSS30P serine protease 30, pseudogene
GGGUGGGGCUUCCACAUCGCAGCCCAGUAGGGUGGACUGACCGGUCUUCUGACCUCUGGCUCCUUGGAGGGACUGGCCUGAGGUGGGCCCUGGCAUCCCCAGCCUCCUCUAAACCACCUCCCUGGAACAUGCGGGACAGGAGCCCAAGCGGCAUCUGAGGAGGGCGGGUUCUGCCAGGCACAGAGGGCUCCAGCGUGAUUGCCACUGGUUAAUGACCUGCCACCCCCGCCCCCCCAACCUCUGGUGCCGUCCAAGGACUCUGACCCCAGUGCAGUGUCUGUAGGGAAGAGGAGCCAUGGGGCUUCGGGCAGGCCCCAUCCUGCUUCUGCUGCUGUGGCUGCUGCCAGAAUGCGGCCACUCCAAGGAGGCCGGGAGGAUUGUGGGAGGCCAAGACACCCAGGAAGGACGCUGGCCGUGGCAGGUUGGCCUGUGGUUGACCUCAGUGGGGCAUGUAUGUGGGGGCUCCCUCAUCCACCCACGCUGGGUGCUCACAGCCGCCCACUGCUUCCUGAGGGUGACUCCGGGGGGCCGCUGGUCUGCCCCAUCAAUGAUACGUGGAUCCAGGCCGGCAUUGUGAGCUGGGGAUUCGGCUGUGCCCGGCCUUUCCGGCCUGGUGUCUACACCCAGGUGCUAAGCUACACAGACUGGAUUCAGAGAACCCUGGCUGAAUCUCACUCAGGCAUGUCUGGGGCCCGCCCAGGUGCCCCAGGAUCCCACUCAGGCACCUCCAGAUCCCACCCAGUGCUGCUGCUUGAGCUGUUGACCGUAUGCUUGCUUGGGUCCCUGUGAACCAUGAGCCAUGGAGUCCGGGAUCCCCUUUCUGGUAGGAUUGAUGGAAUCUAAUAAUAAAAACUGUAGGUUUUUUAUGUGUAUUUUA